GCCUGAGUGGCUCAGCAGUUGAGCAUCUGCCUGCAGCUCAGGUCAUGAUCCUGGGGUCCUGGGAUCAAUUCCCACAUCAGGCU
rnacentral:tRNA from 1 species